rnacentral:rRNA from 1 species
GAUGAACGCUGGCGGCGUGCUUAACACAUGCAAGUCGAACGGAAAGGCCCAAGCUUGCUUGGGUACUCGAGUGGCGAACGGGUGAGUAACACGUGGGUGAUCUGCCCUGCACUUCGGGAUAAGCCUGGGAAACUGGGUCUAAUACCGGAGAGGACCACUUCUUGGAUGUUGUGGUGGAAAGUUUUUUCGGUGUGGGAUGAGCUCGCGGCCUAUCAGCUUGUUGGUGGGGUAAUGGCCUACCAAGGCGUCGACGGGUAGCCGGACUGAGAGGGUGUACGGCGACAUUGGGACUGAGAUACGGCACAGACUCCUACGGGAGGCAGCAGUGGGGAAUAUUGCACCAUGGGCGCCAGCCUGAUGCAGAGAGGCCGCGUGGGGGAUGACGGCCUUCGGGUUGUAAACUCCUUUCGCUAGGGACGAAGCGUUUUGUGACGGUACCUGGAGAAGAAGCACCGGCUAACUACGUG